GAUGAACGCUGGCGGCGUGCCUAAUACAUGCAAGUCGAGCGAACAGACGAGGAGCUUGCUCCUCUGACGUUAGCGGCGGACGGGUGAGUAACACGUGGAUAACCUACCUAUAAGACUGGGAUAACUUCGGGAAACCGGAGCUAAUACCGGAUAAUAUAUUGAACCGCAGGGUUCAAUAAUUAAAGACGGUUUUGCUGUCACUUAUAGAUGUAUCCGCGCCGCAUUAGCUAGUUGGUAAGGUAACGGCUUACCAAGGCAACGCUGCGUAGCCGACCUGAGAGGGUGAUCGGUCAUACUAGAAGCGAGACAGCGUCCCGACUCCUACGGGAGGCAGCAGUAGGGAAUCGUCCGCAAUGGGCGGAAGCCUGACGGAGCGACGCCGCGUGAGUGAUGAGGUGCUUCGGAGCGUAAUACUCUGUUACUAGGGAAGAACACCUGUGUAAGCAACUAUGCCCGUCUUGACGUUACCUAAUCAGAAAGCCACGGCUAACUACGUG
rnacentral:rRNA from 1 species